rnacentral:rRNA from 1 species
GACUAGCUAACUGAAUCACAAAAUCACAAAAUGUGCUUAUUGUGAUAACGUAAGGGAAAAAAUUGAUAUUACCUUACUAUAAGUGUUUGUCUAAAUAACUGGUGCCAGAAGACUCGGUAACACCAGAAACGCGAACGUUAGUCGUCUUAAACAGGCGUAAAGGGUAAGUAGGCUGCUUUAAAGUCUAUUUUUAAAUAAGCUAAUUAAUAAUAUUCCUCCCCUCUAAAAGCGACUACCUGCCUAGACAGGCAGUAAAUUUAAGAGGGUAGGCCCUGACUAAGAAAUUACAAAUUUUCAGACCUUAAUUUAUAAAUUAAGGCUAACUUAAAUUGAAAAUAGGGAAUAAUUAGCUGCUUCCCCCCGCGCAAGCGAGGGGUCGCUUAGACUAAUAAUAUUAAUUAUUAAAUGGGACAAAAUAGAUAUAUUUAAAGCUAGAAUCAUAAUUGAGAUAAACCAAAUAAUACUUAUGUGUAAGGGCGAUAUCUGAAAAUACUAAGUAGAAUACUAACGGUGAAAACUUUUUAUCUGGUAAUGAUUGACGCUGAGGUACGAAAGUGAGAACAGGGAAUAGGAUUAGAUACCCAGUUACCUCUCACCGUCAACGAUGAAUGGUAGUUGUUAGUUUAAUAUAAUUAGUGACGAUGUUAACGCGAUAACCAUUCCGCCUUGAGAGUACGGUUGCAAAACUGAAACCAAAUAAAAUUAGUCGGUCUCGGAGCAAA